GCGCACCAGGCGCGAAACUUUACAAUGUGCGAAAGCACGAUAAGGGAACUCUGAGUGCCUCCUAAGGAGGCUGUUCAGGUGUCUAAAAGCACCUGGAGUAAGGGCUGGGUAAGACCGGUGCCAGCCGCCGCGGUAACACCGGCAGCCCAGGUGGUAGCCACUUUUAUUGGGUCUAAAGCGUCCGUGGCCGGUUGAGUAAGUUCCUUGGGAAAUUUGGCUGCUCAACAGUCAAGCUUCCAGGGAAUACUGCUCGACUUGGGGACUGGGAGAGGUCAGAGGUACUCCAGGGGUAGGGGUGAAAUCCAUUAAUCCCUGGGGGACCACCGGUAGCGAAGGCGUCUGACCAGACCAGGUCCGACGGUGAGGGACGAAGGCUAGGGUCGCGAACCGGAUUAGAUACCCCUGUAGU
rnacentral:rRNA from 1 species